rnacentral:rRNA from 1 species
GCUCAGGACGAACGCUGGCGGCGUGCCUAAUACAUGCAAGUAGAACGCUGAAGAGAGGAGCUUGCUCUUCUUGGAUGAGUUGCGAACGGGUGAGUAACGCGUAGGUAACCUGCCUUGUAGCGGGGGAUAACUAUUGGAAACGAUAGCUAAUACCGCAUAACAAUGGAUGACACAUGUCAUUUAUUUGAAAGGGGCAAUUGCUCCACUACAAGAUGGACCUGCGUUGUAUUAGCUAGUAGGUGAGGUAACGGCUCACCUAGGCGACGAUACAUAGCCGACCUGAGAGGGUGAUCGGCCACACUGGGACUGAGACACGGCCCAGACUCCUACGGGAGGCAGCAGUAGGGAAUCUUCGGCAAUGGGGGCAACCCUGACCGAGCAACACCGCGUGAGUGAAGAAGGUUUUCGGAUCGUAAAGCUCUGUUGUAAGUCAAGAACGAGUGUGAGAGUGGAAAGUUCACACUGUGACGGUAGCUUACCAGAAAGGGACGGCUAACUACGUGCCAGCAGCCGCGGUAGUACGUAGGUCCCGAGCGUUGUCCAGAUUUAUUGGGCGUAAAGCGAGCGCAGGCGGUUUGAUAAGUCUGAAGUUAAAGGCUGUGGCUCAACCAUAGUUCGCUUUGGAAACUGUCAAACUUGAGUGCAGAAGGGGAGAGUGGAAUUCCAUGUGUAGCGGUGAAAUGCGUAGAUAUAUGGAGGAACACCGGUGGCGAAAGCGGCUCUCUGGUCUGUAACUGACGCUGAGGCUCGAAAGCGUGGGGAGCGAACAGGAUUAGAUACCCUGGUAGUCCACGCCGUAAACGAUGAGUGCUAGGUGUUGGAUCCUUUCCGGGAUUCAGUGCCGCAGCUAACGCAUUAAGCACUCCGCCUGGGGAGUACGACCGCAAGGUUGAAACUCAAAGGAAUUGACGGGGGCCCGCACAAGCGGUGGAGCAUGUGGUUUAAUUCGAAGCAACGCGAAGAACCUUACCAGGUCUUGACAUCCCGAUGCUAUUUCUAGAGAUAGAAAGUUACUUCGGUACAUCGGUGACAGGUGGUGCAUGGUUGUCGUCAGCUCGUGUCGUGAGAUGUUGGGUUAAGUCCCGCAACGAGCGCAACCCCUAUUGUUAGUUGCCAUCAUUCAGUUGGGCACUCUAGCGAGACUGCCGGUAAUAAACCGGAGGAAGGUGGGGAUGACGUCAAAUCAUCAUGCCCCUUAUGACCUGGGCUACACACGUGCUACAAUGGUUGGUACAACGAGUUGCGAGUCGGUGACGGCAAGCUAAUCUCUUAAGGCCAAUCUCAGUUCGGAUUGUAGGCUGCAACUCGCCUACAUGAAGUCGGAAUCGCUAGUAAUCGCGGAUCAGCACGCCGCGGUGAAUACGUUCCCGGGCCUUGUACACACCGCCCGUCACACCACGAGAGUUUGUAACACCCGAAGUCGGUGAGGUAACCUUUUGGAGCCAGCCGCCUAAGGUGGGAUA